UCCUACGGGGGGCAGCAGUGGGGGAUAUUGGACAAUGGGGGGAACCCUGAUGCAGCGACGCCGCGUGAGUGAGGAAGUAUUUCGGUAUGUAAAGCUCUAUCAGCAGGGAAGAAAAUGACGGUACCUGACUAAGAAGCCCCGGCUAACUACGUGCCAGCAGCCGCGGUAAUACGUAGGGGGCAAGCGUUAUCCGGAUUUACUGGGUGUAAAGGGAGCGUAGACGGAGGAGCAAGUCUGAUGUGAAAAUCCGGGGCCCAACCCCGGCACUGCAUUGGAUACUGUUUAUCUAGAGUGUCGGAGAGGCA
rnacentral:rRNA from 1 species